GGGUUGUGAGGUUAAGCGACUAAGCGUACACGGUGGAUGCCCUGGCAGUCAGAGGCGAUGAAGGGCGUCUAAUCUGCGAUAAGCGCCGGUAAGGUGAUAUGAACCGUUAUAACCGGCGAUACCCGAAUGGGGAAACCCAGUGUGAUUCGUCACACUAUCAUUAACUGAAUCCAUAGGUUAAUGAGGCGAACCGGGGGAACUGAAACAUCUAAGUACCCCGAGGAAAAGAAAUCAACCGAGAUUCCCCCAGUAGCGGCGAGCGAACGGGGAGGAGCCCAGAGCCUGAAUCAGCAUGUGUGUUAGUGGAAGCGUCUGGAAAGGCGCGCGAUACAGGGUGACAGCCCCGUACACAAAAGCGCAUGUGCUGUGAGCUCGAUGAGUAGGGCGGGACACGUGGUAUCCUGUCUGAAUAUGGGGGGACCAUCCUCCAAGGCUAAAUACUCCUGACUGACCGAUAGUGAACCAGUACCGUGAGGGAAAGGCGAAAAGAACCCCGGCGAGGGGAGUGAAAAAGAACCUGAAACCGUGUACGUACAAGCAGUGGGAGCACAGGUUUACCUGUGUGACUGCGUACCUUUUGUAUAAUGGGUCAGCGACUUAUAUUCUGUAGCAAGGUUAACCGAAUAGGGGAGCCGGAGGGAAACCGAGUCUUAAUUGGGCGUUAAGUUGCAGGGUAUAGACCCGAAACCCGGUGAUCUAGCCAUGGGCAGGUUGAAGGUUGGGUAACACUAACUGGAGGACCGAACCGACUAAUGUUGAAAAAUUAGCGGAUGACCUGUGGCUGGGGGUGAAAGGCCAAUCAAACCGGGAGAUAGCUGGUUCUCCCCGAAAGCUAUUUAGGUAGCGCCUCGUGAAUUCAUCUCCGGGGGUAGAGCACUGUUUCGGCUAGGGGGCCAUCCCGGCUUACCAACCCGAUGCAAACUGCGAAUACCGGAGAAUGUUAUCACGGGAGACACACGGCGGGUGCUAACGUCCGUCGUGAAGAGGGAAACAACCCAGACCGCCAGCUAAGGUCCCAAAGUCAUGGUUAAGUGGGAAACGAUGUGGGAAGGCCCAGACAGCCAGGAUGUUGGCUUAGAAGCAGCCAUCAUUUAAAGAAAGCGUAAUAGCUCACUGGUCGAGUCGGCCUGCGCGGAAGAUGUAACGGGGCUAAACCAUGCACCGAAGCUGCGGCAGCGACGCUUAUGCGUUGUUGGGUAGGGGAGCGUUCUGUAAGCCUGCGAAGGUGGCCUGUGAGGGUUGCUGGAGGUAUCAGAAGUGCGAAUGCUGACAUAAGUAACGAUAAAGCGGGUGAAAAGCCCGCUCGCCGGAAGACCAAGGGUUCCUGUCCAACGUUAAUCGGGGCAGGGUGAGUCGACCCCUAAGGCGAGGCCGAAAGGCGUAGUCGAUGGGAAACGGGUUAAUAUUCCCGUACUUGGUGUUACUGCGAAGGGGGGACGGAGAAGGCUAUGUUGGCCGGGCGACGGUUGUCCCGGUUUAAGCGUGUAGGUGUGUGUUCCAGGUAAAUCCGGUUCACUUUAACACUGAGGCGUGACGACGAGGCACUACGGUGCUGAAGCAACAAAUGCCCUGCUUCCAGGAAAAGCCUCUAAGCAUCAGGUAACAUCAAAUCGUACCCCAAACCGACACAGGUGGUCAGGUAGAGAAUACCAAGGCGCUUGAGAGAACUCGGGUGAAGGAACUAGGCAAAAUGGUGCCGUAACUUCGGGAGAAGGCACGCUGACACGUAGGUGAAGUGAUUUACUCAUGGAGCUGAAGUCAGUCGAAGAUACCAGCUGGCUGCAACUGUUUAUUAAAAACACAGCACUGUGCAAACACGAAAGUGGACGUAUACGGUGUGACGCCUGCCCGGUGCCGGAAGGUUAAUUGAUGGGGUCAGCGCAAGCGAAGCUCCUGAUCGAAGCCCCGGUAAACGGCGGCCGUAACUAUAACGGUCCUAAGGUAGCGAAAUUCCUUGUCGGGUAAGUUCCGACCUGCACGAAUGGCGUAAUGAUGGCCAGGCUGUCUCCACCCGAGACUCAGUGAAAUUGAACUCGCUGUGAAGAUGCAGUGUACCCGCGGCAAGACGGAAAGACCCCGUGAACCUUUACUAUAGCUUGACACUGAACAUUGAGCCUUGAUGUGUAGGAUAGGUGGGAGGCUUUGAAGUGUGGACGCCAGUCUGCAUGGAGCCGACCUUGAAAUACCACCCUUUAAUGUUUGAUGUUCUAACGUGGACCCGUUACCCGGGUUGCGGACAGUGUCUGGUGGGUAGUUUGACUGGGGCGGUCUCCUCCUAAAGAGUAACGGAGGAGCACGAAGGUUGGCUAAUCCUGGUCGGACAUCAGGAGGUUAGUGCAAUGGCAUAAGCCAGCUUGACUGCGAGCGUGACGGCGCGAGCAGGUGCGAAAGCAGGUCAUAGUGAUCCGGUGGUUCUGAAUGGAAGGGCCAUCGCUCAACGGAUAAAAGGUACUCCGGGGAUAACAGGCUGAUACCGCCCAAGAGUUCAUAUCGACGGCGGUGUUUGGCACCUCGAUGUCGGCUCAUCACAUCUGGGGCUGAAGUAGGUCCCAAGGGUAUGGCUGUUCGCCAUUUAAAGUGGUACGCGAGCUGGGUUUAGAACGUCGUGAGACAGUUCGGUCCCUAUCUGCCGUGGGCGCUGGAGAACUGAGGGGGGCUGCUCCUAGUACGAGAGGACCGGAGUGGACGCAUCACUGGUGUUCGGGUUGUCAUGCCAAUGGCACUGCCCGGUAGCUAAAUGCGGAAGAGAUAAGUGCUGAAAGCAUCUAAGCACGAAACUUGCCCCGAGAUGAGUUCUCCCUGAGACUUAAAGUCUCCUGAAGGAACGUUGAAGACGACGACGUUGAUAGGCCGGGUGUGUAAGCGCAGCGAUGCGUUGAGCUAACCGGUACUAAUGAACCGUGAGGCUUAACCUUACAACGCCGAAG
rnacentral:rRNA from 1 species